UCCGUUACCGCCGCCCGGGCCGACUCUUUUCAUUUCGUUUUCUCUGUUUCGAUAAGGCUGAGGGGGAGCUCGAGCGGGGAGCAGAGGAUGCGAUUCUCCCCGUCCAUGGCGAUUUCGAGAUCUCCCACCGCCUGAGCUUGAUCUCUCUUCCCUUUCUCUUCGCCCCCUGUGUCAUGAUUCAUGUUAUAGAACAGGUUUGUGUCCCAGGGAUUACAUUCUCCUCCCCCAUCUUCGCUUGCUGCCACUUCAUUAUGCAAGUUUGCCUCCAAUGUCUGCAAAUAUGAAUAAAAUUCCUUCAGAUUUUGUUAAUGAAAGAGGUGAAGAGAGAUGAUGGUGAGGAGUUUGUGUACGAUUGUUGCUGACCUGUUGAUUCCCCGAUCUCCCAUGGCCGCCUCUCCCUUUCCCAUGGGCGCCUCCCAGAUUUGUUCUAGGCUGGUAGGUGAGAUCUUUGUAGUGGUUGAUGGCAAUUGGCGUGUUUUGUUGUGCCUGGGAUCGGACAAAUCGGGUCAGAUGUUUACCCGACCCGUUUAGACGAUCAGGAGGUUUUUUUUAGCUAUCUGCUGAUUUUCCUGCUCACUCACGUGUAAUGUGUUGAUUGGUCAGGAAAUUUGACUGUUUUCGAAUUGAAAAACAGUCAAAUGUCAAAUAGACAGUCCUUACUUUAUAUAUAGCUCACUUCUACAUCGUUGGAUGAAUCCCUCCAAACGAAUGACAAGGGGCUGGUCUGACGAAA